rnacentral:lncRNA from 1 species
AAAAAUCACAAGAACAAACAAACUAUCAUUUCAGUCUUCACAGUAUAAUUACAGAUAAUUACAGAUAAGUAAUCAUAGCAAUUUUAUGUAUAAAUAGCAGCAAUUUAUAUGGCGACAUUGGUCGCCAGUAGCAGGACCCUAGAUGCAUAGGCACAACAACUGCGAGGGAGUUGUGCGCCUGUAGACGGCUGCUCAGAUUUAAUUCGUCGUGUUCUUGUUGCUGUGUUUUUUUUAAUAAAUUCCUGUGUUUCUACACUGACCGCAACUACGCACACAACACACUUUGGUCCCGCCAGUAUGGACUGCAGAGGGAUGAAAACGGUACGGAUAUUUUCCGAUCGUAUUCGAGACCGAAUUUGUUUAGAGAGGUUCAGAUCUGUCCGUAUCCGAGUCCGAAUGUUUAACAUCCGAUACCGUAUCCGUAUCCGAAUACUUAAAUCGUAUAUUUAUGAUGUCGACAUCCAAUCAUAUCUUAUCCGACAUGAUUGAUAUUAUCCGUAUUCGAAUCCGAAUCCGACCAAAAAUAUAAAAACAAAUAUGAUAUCGGUGAUAUCCGUCCGAUCCGUUUUCAUCCCUAACUGCGGGUCACGGGCUACAGGCUGCAUCCAGUUCAUGGUUCCCUGCAAGGGCGACAGCCAGCUGAAGCAAGGUUGGUGAUGCUUUUGUGGCCGAUCAAUCUCUCUGUAAAAGACUAAUAUUGCAAGUGACAAUAAUUUUCCCAAUUUAUCAUGGUUGCUAGUCCUACUAUAUACUAAUCUAAUGCCUUGCAACUCUGAAGUAGACACCUAGUAUACCGGUCUGUUUGGUAUCAGCCUAGUUUUCUUUCUAAAAAAAAUUAAUCAUUUGAAGAGAAAAAAUCAAUCAGGGAAGCAUUUAUUUUCAUGUAGACUUUCUGGUGAUCUAUAGUGCUUAUUUAAAUACAAAAAGAAAUAGCCAUACAAUAGUUCUGCAGUGAUGUUUAGAAGGAAAAGGUACUAACAAAUGCCUGAUUGUGGAGGAAUCAAACCAAAGAUCAAGUGUCUCACCUUCCGAUUAUAUUUCUUUUGCCUUUUUACCACCUCCUUUAGGCCAUUCAGCAAUAAGUCUCUUGAGUAUAGCUUUCACAAAUGGUUUCUUCUGAACAGGCAAAUGUUGCACCCAACCAUAAAUUCUCAUCUAGUUAACAUGCCAAUUCAAAGUUUCAUAUUUAAAAAUCAUCUAUAUGAAGCUAUUUUAGCUUAAGGACUCUAUAAAAUAGUGAAAUGUAUUGUUUUAUAACAUUCAAAAUGCCGAACAAAUAGCUUGAGUUUGAAAUGCUUGAGCAGCAUGCACCAGCAACAAGCUUAAGUGCAGUAGGAUCUUCAGAGUAAAGAAAAACCAUCUGGUUUUCAAAAAAUAUAUUUGAAUAUGCUGCUGGCAUGAAGCAAAACAAUAUUUUAGGAAUACAGGUCUGAUGGCAAUAAUAAUCAAGUGCCAAACCUUGUAGAGGAGUUCAAUCCUGGCAGCGGUAUUUUAAAGUAUCCGAUUAGGCAGAGAUCCCUACAAUAAUACAAAUAACAAGUCUGAGAAUAGAAAUCUGAAUCUAUGGACACGAACUGAACAAAUCACCAAUGGCGACUAUGUAGUUAUGUUCCAAAAAUAGGCAAAACUGCUAGCUACAGACUUAUGGAUCAUGACUUAAUACAAUAAAUUUUCAUCAGGUGACAUCAACCUAACCAUAAUUCCCACAUAAAGUUAGAUUAUGCAUCAAUGCAACAGGGAUCAAAAUGUGUGCUUUGCCCAUAAAAUAAUGUACAAAAUGACAAAAAAAAUUAUACAACAGCAAAAGUGUGGCAUAAAUUGGAAGCCAGCAUAAACAAAAAAAAUAAUAUAUCCUUGUCAUCGUAGAAAAGAUCUUUAAAUUAAAAAAAAACAAGAAAGCAUAAGUAAGUUGAAAUGACCUACAAGUACAAUGGCAAUUCUUUAUUAGUAGAUGAGCAAUACUGAAGUAUGGCUUGUACUGCUCCAAGGAUGCCAUCUUUAAUAGAAAAAUAAAGGGGGUCAGAAUAGACAGCUAGUGAUGCAUACAGGUUCUUAUCCUUAUUCCAGGGCAGUGAUAUCAGCUGAGCAUUUGUAUCUGGUAGUUCAUUCCUAAAUCUGUGUCAACCAAAAAGAGAAGGCAAAACAGGACCAUUGAAGUGUAUACAAAAUGGACAUAAAUCAUCAAGAUUUAAAUAUUUGAUAGAAAUUAGUAGUUGGUUAAGGCUCCAUAAAACGGGUACACAUCCAAAAACUUAUUUUAAAUGUACAGGCAACAAAAAAUUGUCAUUUCAUAAUCUAGCAAAGUAACACUUUCCAAACCUAUUUGUGCUAAAAGCAUAGGUUGCUGUAACCUACAGGUGUAAUGUAGAGUCUAAUGUCCUUAUGUAUAUGCCACAACCUUCACCAAAAGGUCUGAUGUAGGGUAGUUAGAGAUGUAAUUAUUAAGCCAUAGAAAUAUGUUGUCUUUUAUUACACAAAACAUUAACUUUUUGCUAUCAGGAUAAUCUUGCCUUAUGAUAAUAUGGACUUACUGCUGCUCUGGCACUCUAUUUUUUGCCCCAAAUAUAACUUUGAAGUUGAGAGAGUAAAGGCUAAUAACUAAUGCAGUGGCACAAAUAUUAACAUUUCAUGUUUUUUUCUUUUAAAAAAAAUCUAAUUUCAAAUGCAUAAGCAGUGCUUGGCUAAAGUCCAAUUACUUGAUAUUCCUAAGCACCUGAACCUCAUCAAGCUUAUCUGCUACUACAUAGUGGAUUCAGAAACAGCUAAGCACAGGUUGCUGGUCUACAAGUUUAUGCCCAACAAAAUCAUGUAUGGCCACUUGUUGAACUAAGACCAUCUGCCUCUUUUUGGAACUUAGAGGCUCUGGAUCACAAAUUUCCUACAUGAAUGAGUAGCACAAGUUCUAGUUCCCUUGAAUACAUUGCUCGUUCACAACUUGUUUUUAACCUUAGAAAUACAGCCUAAACCAAAUUGAGUUUAGAACUAUGAAACAAUGCACAAUGAAAUUACCUGGUCACCAUGGCUGCUGCCACCAAUGCCAAUGCUAUACACGAGGUGGAGCAUGAGGCAAACAAGAGGGGAAUCUACACAGAAGAAUGCUACUGCUUAAUUCAAUGCGGACAGAACACAGAACAAAAUCAGAACAACAAUAGAAAAAUUAUAUAUAUGUUGCCCCUUUUAUAGCACUAUAUAGGUGUGCUGGUCGGACCAUGUUUUGCAAUAUAUUAUGUUAAAAUAUGGUUUUAAAUUAUAGCUGCAUAUUGGGUACAUAUAUAACCAUGGAUUUAUUAGUUCAAGUAGAGCAUAACCAUACUUAGUACCAUGAACUUUUAUCCAUUAUAAUAUACUAAUGGUUAUCUAAAUUAGUCCACACCCAUAUGCGCUGGUAAUACUCCCGUAUACGCCAGUAGUAUACUUCCUUUUCCUGAAAGCUUCAAUUUCAUACGCCAGUAGUAUACUUCCUUUUCCUGAAAGCUUCAAUUUCUAGAGUUGUCUUAAGUCAAACUUUUUAAACAGUGACCGAUUUUCUAGAAAAAAAAAUAAGAUUUAUAGUACUAAAUUAGUACUAUUAGAUUUAUCAUAGAAUAUAUGACACUCAUUUUAUGUCAUAAAUAUCGAUACUUUUUUAAGUAUAGUGCUCGUGCUAAGCCACGGCUUUAUUUCAGAGAUACAAAUGAAAACAAUCAAAUAACAAUAACUUUUUUAUAUUUUAGGUCUCACGCAAUUGUAUAUGACCAUAUGGUAGCAGAGUAAUAUUUACUCACAAAUAGAUCGCAUAACUGAAACAAGCAAUUUCUUUUUAGAUACAUUUUUAACAUAUUAUUUUAUUGCUGGAUAGUUAACAUCGUCCACAAACUGAAACUAUUUUUGCUACUGCUAUUAUACAAUCCAGUGAUCCAAUAACAUUACUUCUAUACCUAAGAGAUAUGCGUGUAGUGUAUAUUCAGUCUUGCUAGGGCUCGUCUCUUUGUAAUAACAAAAGAUAUGAAUAAGGAGAGUGAACAUAUAUACAUUCUCUACAAGACUACGACACUUAUAAGAAGAGGAGGCCUCUUUGAAAGUUGAGACUGUGAUUGAUCAAGAUCACGAAUGCAUCUAGUUUAUCUGAUGUCAAAAAACGUUUUCCCCAUCACAACCACCUUUCAUCAAAAUCCACUCAUGUAGAGAUAAGAAGGUGCCAUACAAGAAAAACAAUCAUAUUUUUCAUCACUGCAUUAGCUCAAAGAAACUAACCACGAUCAAAGCUGACCGGACGACAUAAAAGCUCCAAAAGCAAUGUCACACAGAUGGACCUGAACAUUUAAGCUCCCAGUAACGAUGAGCAUGUGCGUUGUCACGAUUGAAGACAUGGCAUCUGAAAAUAAAACAGUGGAAUCUUAAUUCCACUGUUCGAGGAAUCUUAAUUCCAUGGUGGCCUGAGAAAAUAAAACAGUGGAAGAACAUGCAGGAUCAUGAAACAGGGGAAGGAAAAAGAGAGAGUGGUAUCUGAAAAAUUCCUAACAACUCUGCAGGAGCGAAAUCUACCAUGACAGCAAGAACCGAAUCUCAGGUCCGUUCUUUCCUCAGCGCAAUUUUUCAACGUGCCAUAGCUUUAGAGUGAUCACAGUCCCCAAAUCCUCAAUUCCACAUUGAAAUCAGAAACGACAAAGAAUCUGCAAAGGUGGCCGCAGGAGCAGAAAUUCUGACACUCACCAGCACUUUGCAUAUAUCUCUCUAUACUAAGGAAGAUCCCGGGAUAAAGAUGGUAAGUAAGCUACCAACAUCCAGCUUGCAAUAUUUUAACCAAUCCAAAAGCGUCUCAAUCCACAUCUACAUGUCUAGUGAAAACUAACUAAGCCCCCAUCGCACUAACAAUACAUCCAUCCAGAGCAUAAUAACAAGCACAAAUCCAAGACAACUGAGAUCUGUAGACCAAUCACUCACCG